rnacentral:rRNA from 1 species
UACGUAGGCAGCAAGCGUUGUUCGGAGUUACUGGGCAUAAAGAGUGCGUAGGUGGUGCCCUAAGUCUGUUGUGAAAUCUCCCGGCUUAACUGGGAGGGUGCGGUGGAAACUGGGGUGCUUGAGUGUGGGAGAGGUAAGCGGAAUUCCUGGUGUAGCGGUGAAAUGCGUAGAUAUCAGGAGGAACACCUGUGGUGUAGACGGCUUACUGGACUAUAACUGACGCUGAGGAACGAAAGCGUGGGUAGCAAACAGG